CGGCAGCCCGAGUGGUGAUCACUAUUAUUGGGCCUAAAGCAUCCGUAGCCGGCGCUGUAAGUUUUCGGUUAAAUCUGUACGCUCAACGUACAGGCUGCCGGGAAUACUGCAGCGCUAGGGAGUGGGAGAGGUAGACGGUACUCGGUAGGAAGGGGUAAAAUCCUUUGAUCUAUUGAUGACCACCUGUGGCGAAGGCGGUCUACCAGAACACGUCCGACGGUGAGGGAUGAAAGCUGGGGGAGCAAACCGGAUUAGAGACCCGAGUAGUCC
rnacentral:rRNA from 1 species